CCUACGGGUGGCAGCAGUGGGGAAUAUUGCACAAUGGGGGAAACCCUGAUGCAGCAACGCCGCGUGAGUGAAGAAGUAUUUCGGUAUGUAAAGCUCUAUCAGCAGGGAAGAAGAUGACGGUACCUGAGUAAGCAGCCCCGGCUAACUACGUGCCAGCAGCCGCGGUAAUACGUAGGGGGCAAGCGUUAUCCGGAUUUACUGGGUGUAAAGGGAGCGUAGACGGUGAGACAAGUCUGAAGUGAAAGCCCGGGGCUCAACCCCGGGACUGCUUUGGAAACUGCCUGACUGGAGUGCUGGAGAGGCAAGCGGAAUUCCUAGUGUAGCGGUGAAAUGCUUAGAUAUUGCGCAGAACUCCGAUUGCGAAGGCAGCAUACCGGCGGCGAUCUGACGCUGAGGCACGAAAGCGUGGGUAUCGAACAGGAUUAGAUACCCCGGUAGUC
rnacentral:rRNA from 1 species